UUCCAGACUCCUACGGGAGGCAGCAGUGGGGAAUAUUGGACAAUGGGGGGAACCCUGAUCCAGCGACGCCGCGUGAGUGAAGAAGUAUUUCGGUAUGUAAAGCUCUAUCAGCAGGGAAGAAAGAAAUGACGGUACCUGACUAAGAAGCCCCGGCUAACUACGUGCCAGCAGCCGCGGUAAUACGUAGGGGGCAAGCGUUAUCCGGAUUUACUGGGUGUAAAGGGAGCGUAGACGGUUACGCAAGUCUGGAGUGAAAGGCGGGGGCCCAACCCCCGGACUGCUUUGGAAACUGUAUAACUGGAGUGCAGGAGAGGUAAGUGGAAUUCCUAGUGUAGCGGUGAAAUGCGUAGAUAUUAGGAGGAACACCAGUGGCGAAGGCGGCUUGCUGGGCUUUUACUGACGCUGAGGCUCGAAAGCGUGGGGAGCAAACAGGAUUAGAUACCCUUGUA
rnacentral:rRNA from 1 species